rnacentral:rRNA from 1 species
CCAAGGAAGGCAGCAGGCGCGCAAAUUACCCACUCCCGGCACGGGGAGGUAGUGACGAAAAAUAACAAUACGGGACUCUUUUGAGACCCCGUAAUUGGAAUGAGAACACUCUAAACACUUUACCGAGUACCCAUUGGAGGAAAAGUCUGGUGCCAGCACCCGCGGUAACUCCAGCUCCAAUAGCGUAUAUUAAAGUUGUUGCGGUUAAAAAGCUCGUAGUUGGAUCUCAGUUCGAGACGGACGGUCCGCCUAUCGGUGGUCACUGUCUGUUCUCAACACCAGCCGGUUUCCCUGGAUGAUCUUCACCGGUUGUCUUGGGUGACCGGCAAGUUUACUUUGAAAAAAUUAGAGUGCUCAAAGCAGGCGCGACGCCUGAAUAAUGGUGCAUGGAAUAAUGGAAUAGGACCUCUGUUCUAUUUUGUUGGUUUUAGGAACACGAGGUAAUGAUUAAGAGGGACAGACGGGGGCAUUCGUAUUGCGACGCUAGAGGUGAAAUUCUUGGACCGCCGCACGACGAACUACUGCGAAAGCAUUUGCCAAGAAUGUUUCCGUUAAUCAAGAACGAAAGUUAGAGGUCCGAAGGCGAUCAGAUACCGCCCUAGUUCUAACCAUAAACGAUGCCAGCCAGCGAUCCGGCUGCGUUCCUCAAAUGACGCGCCGGGCAGCUUCCGGGAAACCAAAGCUUUUGGGUUCCGGGGGGAGUAUGGUUGCAAAGCUUAAACUUGAAGGAAUUGACGGAAGCGCAAACAAGGAAUGGGGCCUGCGGUUCAAUUUGACUCAACACGGUGCAACUCUCCUGGCCCGGACACAGGAAGGAUUGACAGAU